rnacentral:rRNA from 1 species
AUGAUAAUAAGUUUGUCCAAAUGUUUUAGGGAUCUUCAAGGCUCGCAUUUUUGCAUUGGUGGGCCAUAUGGUCUUGGGGAACAAGUCCGAGAGCGUGCAGAUGCAACAAUUAGGCUAUCCUCACUGGUUUUGAACCACUAA